rnacentral:tRNA from 1 species
GAGUCUCUCCCACAGUGUUUUUAGUGUUCCUUCCGACUGCCGGACUUUUAAUCCGCUGGUCGCUGGUUCGAUUCCAGCACGGCCCACCA